rnacentral:tRNA from 1 species
UCCUUGGUGGUUCAGGGUUAGGACUCGGCACUCUCAUAGCUGAGGCACGGGUUUGAUUCCUGGUCAGGGAA